rnacentral:rRNA from 1 species
GGAGCGUUCUGUAAGCCUGCGAAGGUGUGCUGUGAGGCAUGCUGGAGGUAUCAGAAGUGCGAAUGCUGACAUAAGUAACGAUAAAGCGGGUGAAAAGCCCGCUCGCCGGAAGACCAAGGGUUCCUGUCCAACGUUAAUCGGGGCAGGGUGAGUCGACCCCUAAGGCGAGGCCGAAAGGCGUAGUCGAUGGGAAACAGGUUAAUAUUCCUGUACUUGGUGUUACUGCGAAGGGGGGACGGAGAAGGCUAUGUUGGCCGGGCGACGGUUGUCCCGGUUUAAGCGUGUAGGCUGGUUUUCCAGGCAAAUCCGGAAAAUCAAGGCUGAGGCGUGAUGACGAGGCACUACGGUGCUGAAGCAACAAAUGCCCUGCUUCCAGGAAAAGCCUCUAAGCAUCAGGUAACAUCAAAUCGUACCCCAAACCGACACAGGUGGUCAGGUAGAGAAUACCAAGGCGCUUGAGAGAACUCGGGUGAAGGAACUAGGCAAAAUGGUGCCGUAACUUCGGGAGAAGGCACGCUGAUAUGUAGGUGAAGUCCCUUGCGGAUGGAGCUGAAAUCAGUCGAAGAUACCAGCUGGCUGCAACUGUUUAUUAAA